GAUGAACGCUGGCGGCGUGCCUAACACAUGCAAGUCGAGCGAACAGACGAGUAGUUUGCUCCUUUCACGAUAGCGGCAGACGGGAGAGUAACAUGGGGAUAAUCUACUUAACAGACUGGGAUAACUUCGGGAAACCGGCGCUAAUACCGGAUAAUAUAUUGAACCGCAUGGUUCAAUAAUGAAAGACGGUUUUGCUGUCACUUAUAGACGGUUCCGCGCUGCAUUAGCUAGUUGGUAAGGUAACGGCUUACCAAGACAAGGACGGGUAGCCGACCUGAGAGAGUGGUCGCCCGCACUAGAACUGGGACACGGACAAUACGCCUGCGAGACGCAGCAGUAGGGAAUCGGCCGCAGUAGGCGGGAACAUGGCGGAACAACGGCGCGUGAGUGGUAGAGGUGUUCGGAGCGUGAAACUCUGUUAUGGGGGGUGAACAAAUGUGUAUGUGACUGUACACGUCGUGACGGUACCUGGACAGGAAGCCACGGCUAACUACGUG
rnacentral:rRNA from 1 species